CCUACGGGUGGCAGCAGCGAGGAAUUUUGCACAAUCGACGCAAGUCGGAUGCAGCAACGCCGCGUGGGGGAUGAAGGCUCUCGGGUUGUAAACCCCUUUUGCGAGGGAAGAAGAUCUGACGGUACCUCGCGAAUAAGUCACGGCUAACUACGUGCCAGCAGCCGCGGUAAUACGUAGGUGGCGAACGUUGUCCGGAUUCACUGGGCGUAAAGCGCGCGCAGGCGGAUCGGUAAGUCAGAGGUGAAAUCUCCCGGCUCAACUGGGAGGGGCCCUUUGAUACUGCCGACCUUGAGGCAUCUAGAGGAGAGUGGAAUUCCCGGUGUAGUGGUGGAAUGCGUAGAUAUCGGGAGGAACACCAGCGGCGAAAGCGGCUCUCUGGGGAUGUCCUGACGCUGAGGCGCGAAAGCGUGGGGAGCAAACGGGAUUAGAUACCCCUGUAGUC
rnacentral:rRNA from 1 species